rnacentral:rRNA from 1 species
UACGAAGGGGGCUAGCGUUGCUCGGAAUUACUGGGCGUAAAGGGCGCGUAGGCGGACAGUUUAGUCAGAGGUGAAAGCCCAGGGCUCAACCUUGGAAUUGCCUUUGAUACUGGCUGUCUUGAGUUCGGGAGAGGUGAGUGGAAUGCCGAGUGUAGAGGUGAAAUUCGUAGAUAUUCGGCGGAACACCAGUGGCGAAGGCGACUCACUGGCCCGAUACCUGACGCUGGAGGCGCGAAAGCGUGGGGAGCAA